rnacentral:rRNA from 1 species
GACGUAGGGCGCGAGCGUUGUCCGGAUUUAUUGGGCGUAAAGAGCUCGUAGGCGGCUUGUCGCGUCGAAUGUGAAAUCUCAGGGCUCAACUCUGACAUGCAUUCGAUACGGGCAGGCUAGAGUCGGUAGGGAGACUGGAAUUCCUGGUGUAGCGGUGAAAUGCGCAGAUAUCAGGAGGAACACCGAUGGCGAAGGCAGGUCUCUGGGCCG